AAGUCAUAACAAGGUUUCCGUAGGUGAACCUGCGGAAGGAUCAUUACCGAGUUCAUGCCCUUCGGGGUAGAUCUCCCACCCUUUGUUUACUAUACUAUGUUGCUUUGGCGGACCGCCUGAUCGCCCCUCGGGGUCUUCAGCUACCGGCUUCGGCUGGUACGUGUCCGCCAGAGGACCCAAAACCCUGAAUAUUAGUGUCGUCUGAGUAAAAAGUUUAAUAUUUAAAACUUUCAACAACGGAUCUCUUGGCUCUG
rnacentral:misc_RNA from 1 species